UAAAUCCUACUUUGUCCCCUCGCAGAGUUAAUCCUUGAUAUGCUCAUCCUAACCGGUGACGGAUUUUCUCUCCGACGGUUGCCUAUCCAGUUUUCGAUAAAUGUAAUUCCUCCCUUUUUGUUCAGUUGGUAUAUCCUUGAUAUGUUCAUCCUAACCGAUGACGGGUAUCCUCCUUAACAUCCCCAGGAAAGUCUAUCCAUGAUAUGUUCAUCUUAAUCAAUGAUGGAUUUUCUUUCCUUUGAGUUUAUCCUUGAUAUGUUCAUCUUAACCGAUG
rnacentral:lncRNA from 1 species